GACCUCGAAUCAGGUAGGGAUACCCGCUGAACUUAAGCAUAUCAAUAAGCGGAGGAAAAGAAACCAACAGGGAUUGCCUUAGUAACUGCGAGUGAAGCGGCAAGAGCUCAAAUUUGAAAUCUGGCGUCUUUGGCGUCCGAGUUGUAAUUUGGAGAGGCAUCUUCGGGUGCGGCGCCGGCCUAAGUUCCUUGGAACAGGACGUCAUAGAGGGUGAGAAUCCCGUUCUCGGCUGGCUGUCCGUAUCCAUGUGAAGUGUCUUCGACGAGUCGAGUUGUUUGGGAAUGCAGCUCAAAAUGGGUGGUAAACUCCAUCUAAAGCUAAAUACUGGCGAGAGACCGAUAGCGCACAAGUAGAGUGAUCGAAAGAUGAAAAGCACUUUGAAAAGAGAGUUAAAAAGUACGUGAAAUUGUUGAAAGGGAAGCGCUUGAGACCAGACUCGGCGUGAGGUAUUCAUCGUCCCUUCUGGGGCGUGCACUUGCCUCUCGUCGGGCCAGCAUCGGUUGCGGCGGCGGGAUAAAGACCCGGGGAAUGUGGCUGCUCUCGGGCAGUGUUAUAGCCCUGGGUGCCAUGCCGCCUGCUGCGACCGAGGACCGCGCUCGGCUAGGAUG
rnacentral:rRNA from 1 species